rnacentral:rRNA from 1 species
UACGAAGGGGGCUAGCGUUGUUCGGAGUUACUGGGCGUAAAGGGCGCGUAGGCGGCGCAUCAAGUCAGGCGUGAAAGCCCUCGGCUCAACCGGAGAAUAGCUGGAGAUACUGGCCAUCUCGAGGGGGGGUAGGGGCAUGUGGAACUUCCGGUGGAGCGGUGAAAUGCGUAGAUAUCGGAAGGAACGCCGGUGGCGAAAGCGACGUGCUGGACCCUUUCUGACGCUGAGGCGCGAAAAGCCCAGGGGGAGCAAACGGGG